rnacentral:lncRNA from 1 species
UACAAGGCUUCCCUCAGGUGGACAGGCCCACCCCUCAGGGAGACUAGGAUAAGAGGACACCACACACCCGGACAUCAGCGGAGCAUGUCCAGCACCCAGCACACAAAGGCCUCCUGCAUCUCAGAAACCCAGAGAAGCAGCCGCCUCACACCACCCCCCGCCCCUCCCGUCCCUCAGCUGCAACCACCUGCCCACUUUUUCUGCCUCCGGUCUCUGGUCAGCCCAGGCCGUCUUGGCCGGGGUCCACCCACUCCAAAAACCACCACAGUUGUGGCGUUGCCUCCUCCCCAGACAGAGAUAGAGGGCCAACAAUGAAGGGUGACUGGCCAAAUGUCUGGGAGAUGGCCCUGUUCCACAUUGUCUGUGUUCUUGCGAAAUUGCAAGGCGUCACGAGGCUUGCCCACCCAAUCCUCUGGAGAGUUCUUGCGCAGAGGUAGAUUGUUUGGCACACGAGAUGUCGGCGUGGGUCAGAAAGCAUGCGGAAGUCCUGCUUUGCUACGUGAUGGAUUUGCAGGUCAGGCUGGGGAGCCUGGGUCUGUGGGAGGAGUCCAGUGUCUGAGUCAGUUUGAGGUCCCCCUGGGACCAGGGUCGUCUCAGUGGCAGAGCUGGGAAAGGGAAACUCAUGGCUCACUACAGCAAGUAGGCCACCUCAGCCCAGCUAGUUGAGAUGGUCCCAUUGAAUCCAUCCUCUUUCUCCUUGAUCCGGCAGGUGGAGGAACACAGCCAUCCCGGUUACCGGUGGCAGGAUGAUUUCCUUUCAUCCCAACCUUUAUUUCCACAGUGAAAUCAUCAUGAAGGAGCACUGUGUUGGCAUCCUCGAGCUCCAGCUGUUCUGUAGAGAAACUGGCGUGAAUUGAAGAAAAAAAAACUGGACGAUUGAAGGUUACUUACGGGCCACUCUUCAUUUACUAAGACUAUGUAAUUCUCAGAGAGGACACACAACCUGUGAAGAGUUGGAUGUAAAUGAUGAAGAGUCAUUGAGAAAAGGCUGCCUGAAGAAUCAUCCUCUACAUUUCUAGCUUGAAAUACAGGGUAUUUGGUGCUGUGAAUUUCUGAAAUAGUGGAAUACUGUAGGAGGAAACAUGUUUUGGGGAUGAAAGGAAGGUCUGGUUUUGGUAUGUGGAGAUGUAAGGCAUGAAGUUGGAUAUGCCAAGUCUGAAGGUAGAACAAAGAUCUGGCCUGAAGUUGAGAAUUUCUUAAUGGUCAGCAUAGAAAGGGUGUUUUAGCCUUGAGAAAACCCAAGAGGAUCCAUGACUGAGAUCUGAACAACUUCAACACCUGUAGAUUUAGUAAAGAUGCCAACAAACUACACACCAAGUUCAUAUUAAAUGUAUUAGGAAAAGACAAACAACUUAGUGAGAGGCAUUCAGGCAACUAGCAUUUAGCUAGCUAUUAGGUAGCAAAUUUCGGAAAAAAUAAAAUGUAUAAAGAAUCUUUGAUCAGGUUUCCAAAUAUACAAAAUAAAAACCACUUACAUGUUAGAAGACAAUAUACAAAAUGAUAUUAUGUUAAUGGUACUAUUUAAUGCUAAUAGACAAAAAUGAAAAUUAUUCUGAAUUAAAUCAAUAGACAAUAUAUUUUCUAUCACUGUCUUUUCUUCUCAAUUUGUGUGUUGUUUUAAUUCACUAAGCAAUGACUCCUCUUAAUUCCACUACUUUUUAUUUAACACUGCAUUUUUUUUCAUAUGUGCAAUAUUACGCUGCCCAAUAGAGAGGAAAUGCAGAAUUUGGUCUAUUAUAUCAGAAACACCUUAGUUUUUCAGCUUUGGGCUUGUGCAGUGUGGUUAAUUUAAAGGUUCUCAUCAGGCUUUGAUUUUUGUAGUUUCUGUAAUCACUUCUCCAAAAUAAACAAUGUCUGAAACUAAUGACUACAAUAAAAUUAAAAUUAUGCUGGCUUUUAAGAUAAUUA